CGAGUCCCCUCGCCAGAUUCCCUCCGUCGCCGCCAAGAUGAUGUGCGGGGCGCCCUCCGCCACGCAGCCGGCCACCGCCGAGACCCAGCACAUCGCCGACCAGGUGAGGUCCCAGCUUGAAGAGAAAGAAAACAAGAAGUUCCCUGUGUUUAAGGCCGUGUCAUUCAAGAGCCAGGUGGUCGCGGGGACAAACUACUUCAUCAAGGUAGAGUGUGGGCCUCAGGAGGGCCUGCCCCGAACGGGUGCUGGUAGGAAACCGCCUGUGCAGGCCCGGGCUGUGUGGUCUUAGGUGCUGGGGCGCCCUGUGGCUGCCCCCUGAGAUAAGCAUCCUACUGUGUGUGUCCAUCGGCCUUUCAGGAGGACUAGGGCUUCUGGGGAGCUAAGAACCCCAAGGAAACAAGUGUGGGAUGUGAGGCAUCCCCUGCACAUGCAGGAGAAGACAAGAUUGUCUUCAGCUGGCUGCUAAUGACCUGGAGGGGCGCAGCAAGGUGACUUGGGAUCAGAGGCUUCGCUCACUCCGCUCUCUUCCCAGGUGCACGUCGGCGACGAGGACUUCGUACACCUGCGAGUGUUCCAAUCUCUCCCUCAUGAAAACAAGCCCUUGACCUUAUCUAACUACCAGACCAACAAAGCCAAGCAUGAUGAGCUGACCUAUUUCUGAUCCUGACUUUGG
rnacentral:lncRNA from 1 species